GACAGUGGUCUAUUUGGAAAUAAAAAAUUCCUAAAAUACAUGAACGGGAAAUGAAAAUGAGAUGGGAGGGAAAUGAAAUGUUUUUUAUUUUUAUUUUCUUUUUUCAGCCACAUUCUCCCUUUUUUAUUUCCCCCAAGUUUAAUUCAAUUAUUAUAACUAAUGAUAUAAUGCUCAAAACAUAGUAUUUACUUCACGGAUGUUGUUUAUUUUAAUUUUUC
rnacentral:lncRNA from 1 species